CCCGGGCGCGCGCACGAUUCGUGCGCCCCGCAGCCGCGGCGCCGGGCCCCACUUUGCGCAGCCUAGACGGCCUCGGUUGCCACGGGUGUGAGUUUAGGUACAAAAGCAACGCGAUGGCAGGGUCAGAUUUGUACUUGCAAACCCUUGUUGAUCCUGAAAAGGGAGUUUAAACGCAGCGAAGUGAGUCAGGGAGAGCUCCUAAGAGGAUGCCUAGCCGCCUUCUGGGCUGUAGCAGCGCGCACAGAAGGUGGAAGGGACGGCGAGCCGACACCGACUGGACUUCUGCGGGACGAACCCCGCUCCGCCCGAGCUGGGCCCGCGCGGCCCGGGCUCCUUCCUCCUCACACGCCCACCUCUUGCGUGUCAAAGCUACAGAGCUCUGGUCCUUGGGAAGUUCCUAGGAAUCAUCGUCGAAGCCAAAGCUGCCGAGGUUGGGCGCCCCACCAAAACUGUACAGCAAAUUUCAAGAUUAAUCCCAUGACUCAUCCAUCAUCUAUGGGACUGGGAGUUCAUGAAGAAGCAAAGCUUGAAAGGCUGCUCCAACCUUCUUGUGAAGUGAGAAGAGAAACACUGUGCUCCACUGUACCUGCAGCUGGGACAGACUUCAGCCAAAAUUGAUAAAUGUUUGUUGAGUGGAAACCUUGGAAAAUAGCCUCUCUUUGAAGAGCAAAGCACAGGUUUAUUGUCCAGUACAAUAAAGGAGCAACCUGAUUUUCAUAAAGGGUUCUAAGCUGGAACUGUCCUGAGGACCAUGUCCAGAUCAAGUAGCCAACAAAUGGCAUUCUGCAUGCAACAAAACUGCUAAGUGCUGUCACGAUAUAGACAGUUUCCAAGGCUUAAGCUGCACCAAGGGAAACAUGGCCAUCCACAAACCUCGCACUCAUUGUGAAGUUAUUCAUAGGAAUAAUGAUAUAUAUAGGUGAAAUCCCUGAACUCUACUGCUUGAAUCAACAUAGAAUCUGCAAUACAGAAGAGUCUGACCCUCUGAACAACGGGGUUGGUGGGUCUCGGUUCUCUCCACCUCCAGCGCGGGAGCUGAUACUAGGUAAGGAAACCCCCAGAAGAACCUCAGUGCUUUUACCACAAGGGGGAGUUGUGUGCUGUUACAUGAGAUGAGAUAAAAUCAAGGUAGUAAAAUCUUCAUUAGGCUGUGUUCUGCCAGUCACUGCGGAUUAGUAUAAGAUAUUCAAACUGACACCUUCAAAGGGAUGCCCCCUAAACCUCAGGAAGCAUUGUGUAGACCAUAGGGAACUACAGACAAUAUAUAGCACCAUGUUCUACAACUUCUGAUAUUUUUUAUCUUCAUACUUUUGAACUUGCCCCUUGAAAAGAAUGGUUUCACUGUGGAACUAUCCAAAGGACUCUGGAGCCUGCUACGACCUGCCCCUUGAAUUGGUCACAAUUCAAGAUCAGAGAGCAGGCACGGAGGAAGAAUGAGGGAAGCAGUGCCUGCAAGCUGCUGCCGCCCUGGAGUUUCAGUGCAGGGACCCGCUGCCGGUGGAGCCACAUCAGGGAAGAGCCCUUGCAGAUGGGAGCAGCUGUUGGUUUCCCGUGCCAGGAGCGUCUGCCAAAAGGAGCUGCUGGGAAGUCACUUUGGAAGCAGAAAUAUCAAUAGUCUCCACCCUUUUUAUCAUGCCUUCAUAAGUAAGCACAGAGGUGUCACAUGAGAGUAAGAUCAUUGCUGUUUCUAAAUACCAUGUUUUUAUAUCUGUGUCUACGUUGACAUAUAUAGAUCUCAGUAUACUAUAUAUUUCUGUGUAUUCCACUCUACAGUAGAAGCUAAAAUUCGUUCCUGUCAUCACUUACUCAAUUAAUG